UCGGGAGUUUUAUUUUAUUGUGGGACUCAUUAUCUAAUUGUGGAUUAUAUUGUUGGGCAUUUUCUUGUAUGGGUCGAUGACGGUGUUGUAAUGGCUCAAAAGAGGGCCUGAAGAUUGUCAACAUUUGGAUAUGAGAAUGGGAGUAUAGGACAAAUUGUCAUCUUUUGGAUCUGCCUUGGAACAUAUUAAAGGGGAUUGAAAAGUUCUUAGUGGGACAAAGGUCUCUGGGCUAAUGCAUGUAGAUUGAAGUUGGAUACCAAGAAGAGAAAGAUAAAGAUUGAUUCAUUCCAGUAUACAAAGAAAAUCAAGCUGACAAAAGCAUACUAUUAGGAAUCCGAUCACAUGGCAACAGGUUCUCUCUGGAGGAUUGCUUUUUAUAAUUGAAUCUUUAAAGAAGAAAUGUCAUUCUAUUGAAGUCUCACUAGUAGGGUGUUGUCUUGCAGAUUUGUAGAUUUGAUGCAAGGAUCGGGUAGAACCUUACUGCCAAGCAGCAGUUGGAACGUGAGCUUGGGGCCAUAUCUUCCUUUAAUUAUAGGGAAAUUAUGUUCUUCCUCAUCAGGCCAUUAUGGAGGGGGUGGCCCACCUCGAGGUGUGGAGUCUGAGAGGCCACGGCUUGUUUUGGAUCCGCCAAGGGUUGAAGGUGGAGGAUCUAUGAUUGAGUCUAGGAGGACUCAGUCGAGCCCAUUCAAUGCAGGUCAUCCGAGGGAGGAGGUUUUGCCUGAGACAGGGCUGGAUUGGAGGAAGGUGGAUUCAGAGAUUGAGGUUACUGAACCCUGGUUAAUUUCUAUACACUUGUUCUCAACAAUAUUGAUUUAUCUUUUUCAUUUUCUUUUUUCUUUAUUUCUUUUUUAUUUUAGUAACAAGUCAUGCCUUUAACCAGAUAUUGUCUCCUGUUUUUGUACAUGUACAUUGUUGAGUAAGAUAUAAAUGUUAGUAAUGGAUGAUGUAAUGACACAGUAGUACAGGACCCCCGAAAUCCAAAUAGAAAUGCAAAACUUAAAUUCUCAAACACCAAGUCAGUCUCAGUCAAACAAAUAAGAUUGUCUUGAAUGGACUAGAUGAUCCAUCCAUUCUACCACUCAUGUCCCAUCUUGAAUGGACAAAGUAAUGGAUGUGAGGCUUGGUAAUAAAAUUCAACUUUUUAAUUUUCUUCUUGUGAUUAGUAUCAUUCUUUGGGAAAAACUUAUUUAAACUAUUUUCCCAUUGCAAGGGCCAUGGUGAAACUAGCACCAGGAUUGCAAUACACCAGCAAGCUGAUUUAGGUGUAGAAGGUUUUUGCCCCAUUUGCUCUGCUUCACGAAUCUCAUGAAACUUCUGUUAAGGUGGAUCAUUUACCUUGUGGAAUAGUUGAAGUGAGUUCUGAUAUGGAAUUGAAGCCUCUAUGAUUGACAAGUGGUGAGAAGUUAAAGCUUGCUUCUUUCUACAUAUUGAGCAAAAAUUCAUUGUGUGAAGAGAUAGGGCCUUCUAAUUCUCACUGGU